rnacentral:rRNA from 1 species
AUUACCGCGGCUGCUGGCACGUAGUUAGCCGUGGCUUUCUGGUUAGGUACCGUCAAGGUACGAGCAGUUACUCUCGUACUUGUUCUUCCCUAACAACAGAGUUUUACGAUCCGAAAACCUUCAUCACUCACGCGGCGUUGCUCCGUCAGACUUUCGUCCAUUGCGGAAGAUUCCCUACUGCUGCCUCCCGUAGGAGUCUGGGCCGUGUCUCAGUCCCAGUGUGGCCGAUCACCCUCUCAGGUCGGCUACGCAUCGUCGCCUUGGUGAGCCGUUACCUCACCAACUAGCUAAUGCGCCGCGGGCCCAUCUGUAAGUGACAGCGUAAACCGUCUUUCAGCUUUCCUACAUGAGUAGGAAAGGAUUAUCCGGUAUUAGCUCCGGUUUCCCGAAGUUAUCCCAGUCUUACAGGCAGGUUGCCCACGUGUUACUCACCCGUCCGCCGCUAACUUAAAAAGCAAGCUUUUUAAGUCCGCUCGACUUGCAUGUAUUAGGCACGCCGCCAGCGUUCGUCCUGAGCCAGGAUCAAACUCU